UACGGAGGGAGCUAGCGUUGUUCGGAAUUACUGGGCGUAAAGCGCACGUAGGCGGCUUUGUAAGUUAGAGGUGAAAAGCCCGGGGGCUCAACUCCGGAACUGCCUUUAAGACUGCAUCGCUUGAAUCCGGGAGAGGUGAGUGGAAUUCCGAGUGUAGAGGUGAAAAUUCGUAGAUAUUCGGAAGAACACCAGUGGCGAAGGCGGCUCACUGGACCGGUAUUGACGCUGAGGUGCGAAAGCGUGGGGGAGCAAACAGG
rnacentral:rRNA from 1 species